AACCGCUGAAAGCAUCUAAGUGGGAAGCCGACCUCAAGACGAGAUCUCCCUGAACUUCGGUUCCUGAAGAGCACUCCGAGACGAGGAGUUCGAUAGGCUGGGUGUGGAAGCGCAGCAAUGCGUUGAGCUAACCAGUACUAAUGAUCCGUGCGGCUUGAUCAU
rnacentral:rRNA from 1 species